rfam:Triticum aestivum genome assembly, contig: Triticum_aestivum_CS42_TGACv1_scaffold_147064_2BS
AAUGUACUCCCUCUAUCCGGAAAUACUUGUCAUCAAAAUGGAUAAAAGAAGAUGUAUCUAGAACUAACUAGAUACAUCUUCUUUUAUCCAUUUUGAUGUCAAGUAUUUUUGAACGGAGGGAGUAGUAC